rnacentral:rRNA from 1 species
UCGAGCGAGCUGAAUUCAAAGAUUCCUUCGGGAUGAUUUGUUGGACGCUAGCGGCGGAUGGGUGAGUAACACGUGGGCAAUCUGCCCUAAAGACUGGGAUACCACUUGGAAACAGGUGCUAAUACCGGAUAACAACAUGAAUCGCAUGAUUCAAGUUUGAAAGGCGGCGCAAGCUGUCACUUUAGGAUGAGCCCGCGGCGCAUUAGCUAGUUGGUGGGGUAAAGGCGUACCAAGGCAAUGAUGCGUAGCCGAGUUGAGAGACUGAUCGGCCACAUUGGGACUGAGACACGGCCCAAACUCCUACGGGAGGCAGCAGUAGGGAAUCUUCCACAAUGGACGCAAGUCUGAUGGAGCAACGCCGCGUGAGUGAAGAAGGUUUUCGGAUCGUAAAGCUCUGUUGUUGGUGAAGAAGGAUAGAGGCAGUAACUGGUCUUU